rnacentral:rRNA from 1 species
UACAGAGGGGGCAAGCGUUGUUCGGAAUUACUGGGCGUAAAGGGUGCGUAGGCGGGUUUUUAAGUCAGGGGUGAAAUCCUGGAGCUCAACUCCAGAACUGCCUUUGAUACUGAAGAUCUUGAGUCCGGGAGAGGUGAGUGGAACUGCGAGUGUAGAGGUGAAAUUCGUAGAUAUUCGCAAGAACACCAGUGGCGAAGGCGGCUCACUGGCCCGGUACUGACGCUGAGGCACGAAAGCGUGGGGAGCAAACAGG